CCUGUUUAACAAAAACAUCGUCUUUUGAAACACUCACAUAAAAGAUAAUGCCUGCCCAGUGAAAAUUUUAAACGGCCGCGUUAGCGUGAGCGUGCUAAGGUAGCGUAAUAAAUAGCCUUUUAAUUGGAGGCCAGUGAAUGGCAAGACUAGGAAUACCUGUACCCUUUAUGGAAAAAAAACUUUUCAUCUGAGUGAAAAGACUCAGAUAACAAAGGAAGACGAAAAGACCCCGCGGAACUUUACCUUUUCCAGCCCUAGCUGCCCACAAACACAAAAGACAAAAGGUUUGAUUGGGGCAAUCUCGGAACAAACCAAGCUUCCGAUCUCCCUUAAAUAAACAUCCAU
rnacentral:rRNA from 1 species